UUGAAGAAGUGAAGAAGCUGUGGAGGAAUUUGAGGGACACAUACGUGCAAAAGAAGAGAGAGGAGGGAGAGAUGAAGAGGAACGGCCAGGCAGGUGGAAAACCGAAGAAGAGGUGGAAAUGCAUGAUGACAAUGUCUUUCCUAGAUGAAGUCACUUCAUUCAGGAGGUUAGCUACAAACCCCUUUCAACCUCUUAUUGUCAAUAGCUUUAACACCAGAAAGAGUGCUAGCAGUGACAUUUUGAAAAUACAGCCGUACCAUAAUACAUGACUUGAUCAUUUUUAUUUUCGCUGACAGACAGCAGCUUCCUACUUCAGGCGCAGCUACCAGUGGCAGCCUCUCUAGCAGCUCUGUGUGUUCUUCUGAAUAUUUUGGGACUAAUGAAGUAUCUAUCCAUCUAUCCAUCUAAAAUCUGUCUGUUUCUCUCUCUUGCUGCUGUCUUAAAUUCCAUGCCUUGCUUAAUGUUAUUAGCAACAGACAGAUCUUAACCAUUUCACUAAAAUGCACAGCACUAAUUUCUUGCUUUUCAAUAGCACAAUGUACGGUCACUAGAGCAGGCAUCUAACCAGGCAGAGAAUGAUGGAGAGGGUGAUGCUGUAGUUCCCAGACCAGCCAGGGCAAAGAGACCCUCAAGUGACAGCGUGCUUGAGGAAUAUCUGAAAAGGAAGGAGCCAGAAAAGCGCAGCGAGACAUUGAGAGAGCCCAACACACGGAUGACGUGACCUUAUUUCUUUUAAGUUUGGCACUGUCAAUGAGGCGCCUGACCCCAGAAAGGCAAUCACGGAUCAAAAUUAAAAUGCAAGAGAUACUUUAUGAGGCUGAGUUUGGAGCUGUGUAAAAUUAGCAGUACUUCAAUUUUACAUAUAUGUAGUUGUAUUUGUUGUAUUUAUGAAGUGGUUGUAUUUGUAGUUGUUGUAUUGUUUAAGUAAUUCUGUAAAUAAGAGCAAUUAGAAAAUACCAAUAUAUCCUCAUUAUUCAUCCUAGACAAAUAAUAUUGGCG